GAACGCAGCGGCGGUAGUGGCGGCGGCUGAGGAAAGCGAGCCGGGCUCGGGGCGCCGGCUGAGGCCCGGCCGAGGACGCGAGUCGCUGCAGCUGCCUGAGCGCCCCACAGAGCCUGACCGCGGCCUUCGGCUGCGGGGCUCGGUGGCGGCCUAAGCUGGGCAGGGACGCCCGCUGGCGGUGCCUUCGCACUCGCACACACACGCUCGCACCGGGGAGGACUAGGGACAGACGUCCGGCGAGAUCGGUGUGGAGAUUAAGAACAAGGAGCUGAGAGUGCGAGAAAGAGGCAAAAAGCUCAGAAGAUUGGUUGGGUGUCAAAAUCCCGCGUCCAAGGCGUCUUCCGCAGGGGAGGACACUUGCGAGGACACGUCGCCGGGUCCUGCCCAGGCUGGGCGCUGUGCAAUGCGCGCACGCGCCAGGCUACUCGUCCGGGAACCCGGAGCAGCUCCGGGACCCACAAGAGCCGGGGGUGAGGAACGUGGCCGAGGGUGUGCUCCCGGCGCCUGCGGCAGGGUUCCUAAAGAGUGACACCUGUGGCCGCGUGUGGAGGUAAAAUGCUGUUAUCGCUGAAGGGGCAGAAAGGUGCAAAUGCACGUCAUCAUUGGGUCAAAACUAAACAGCUAUUAGAAGAGUCCUCCACUGCAAAACAGCUGCAGCAGUGUGUUACCAGAAAGUGUGAGUGAAGCCCCUCGGGACCAAAAGACUGCUAGCUACUUUGCUUUCCUCCUGGGUUGUUUCCACUUCCCUCCCCAGCAGCUCCACCCCCCACCAUCACAUUUUGUAAAAGGUGUUAAGGGCCUUAACCCUGAAAGACGUGCUUACUUCUCCCCAACUGUUUAGUCAAGGCUGAUAAAUAAUGAACGUAAGCAAAAAAAAAAAAAACAAAUCACUUACAAGUCGUGAACCUGCCCCCAUAACAUCUUACCGAAGCAUUUUUCCUUGAAACAAACUCCCCCAGUGGAAACACUAUCGAA